rnacentral:rRNA from 1 species
UGCCAGCCGCCGCGGUAAUACGUAGGGAGCAAGCGUUGUCCGGAAUUAUUGGGCGUAAAGGGUGCGUAGGCGGUAAUCCAAGUCAGAUGUGAAAUCCCCGGGCUUAACUCGGGACGUGCAUUUGAAACUGGGUUACUUGAGUGCAGGAGAGGUAAGUGGAAUUCCUAGUGUAGCGGUGAAAUGCGUAGAUAUUAGGAGGAACACCAGUGGCGAAGGCGACUUACUGGACUGCAACUGACGCUGAGGCACGAAAGCGUGGGGAGCAAACAGGAUUAGAUA